rnacentral:rRNA from 1 species
AUACGGAGGAUCCGAGCGUUAUCCGGAUUUAUUGGGUUUAAAGGGAGCGUAGGUGGAUUGUUAAGUCAGUUGUGAAAGUUUGCGGCUCAACCGUAAAAUUGCAGUUGAAACUGGCAGUCUUGAGUACGGUACAGGUGGGCGGAAUUCGUGGUGUAGCGGUGAAAUGCUUAGAUAUCACGAAGAACUCCGAUUGCGAAGGCAGCUCACCGGGCCGGAACUGACACUGAUGCUCGAAAGUGCGGGUAUCAAACAGGAUUAGAUACCCUGGUAGUCCGCACAGUAAACGAUGAAUACUCGCUGUUUGCGAUACACGGUAAGCGGCCAAGCGAAAGCGUUAAGUAUUCCACCUGGGGAGUACGCCGGCAACGGUGAAACUCAAAUGAAUUGGCGGGG